rnacentral:rRNA from 1 species
UGGUCAAGUUAUUAAGGGUGCAGGGCGGAUGCCUUGGCACUAGGAGCCGAUGAAGGACGUGAUAAGCUGCGAUAAGCUUCGGGGAGUUGCACGUAAACUUUGAUCCGAAGAUUUCCGAAUGAGGAAACUCACUUAGAGUAAUGUCUAAGUAUCAUUAAGUGAAUACAUAGCUUAAUGAGGGGAACUCAGGGAACUGAAACAUCUAAGUACCUGAAGGAAGAGAAAGAAAUUCGAUUCCGUAAGUAGCGGCGAGCGAACGCGGAUUAGCCCAAACCAAUAAAGUUUUCUUUAUUGGGGUUGCGGACAUAUCAUAACGAAGAGGUAUCGUAAUUGAAGAGGUUUGGAAAGACCCACCACAGAAGGUAAUAGUCCUGUAUGUUAAACGAGAAGACUUUAGAUAUGAUCCAGAGUACCACGGGACACGUGAAACCCUGUGGGAAGCAGGAGGGACCACCCUCCAAGGCUAAAUACUACCUAGUGACCGAUAGCGUAUAGUACCGUGA